rnacentral:rRNA from 1 species
ACGAACGCUGGCGGCAUGCCUAACACCUGCAAGUCGAACGAGACCUUCGGGUCUAGUGGCGCACGGGUGCGUAACGCGUGGGAACCUGCCCUUAGGUUCGGAAUAACUCCCCGAAAGGGGUGCUAAUACCGGAUAAUGUCUUCGGACCAAAGAUUUAUCGCCUUUGGAUGGGCCCGCGUUGGAUUAGCUAGUUGGUAGGGUAAAAGCCUACCAAGGCGACGAUCCAUAGCUGGUCUGAGAGGAUGAUCAGCCACACUGGGACUGAGACACGGCCCAGACUCCUACGGGAGGCAGCAGUGGGGAAUAUUGGACAAUGGGCGAAAGCCUGAUCCAGCAAUGCCGCGUGAGUGAUGAAGGCCUUAGGGUUGUAAAGCUCUUCUACCCGGGAUGAUAAUGACAGUACCGGGAGAAUAAGCACCGGCUAACUCCGUG